rnacentral:lncRNA from 1 species
UAGGGUUUUCCUGGAUAUUGAGAAAGCAUAUGAUUCUUUGUGGAAGGAGGGAUUAAUGGUUAAAAUUUUUGAUUUAGGAGUUAGGGGAAGAAUGUUUAAUUGGAUAAAGGAUUUUUUAAUUAAAAGAACAAUUCAAGUAAAGGUUGGUAGUGUUAGUUCAAAAAUUGUGGAUAUAGAGAAUGGAACCCCACAGGGAAGUGUUAUCAGUCCAGUGUUAUUUAAUAUAAUGAUUGAUGAUAUCUUUGGUAAAAUGGAGAGAGGAUUUGGGCUUUCUUUAUUUGCAGAUGAUGGGGCCAUUUGGAAAAGAGGGCGUAAUGUAGGGUUUGUUUUAAAGCAGAUUCAAAGAAUGUUAGUGUUGGUGGAGGAAUGGGGGAAUACAUGGGGAUUUAAAAUUUCGCAAUCUAAGACAAAAUAUAUGAUAUUAGGUUUUAAAAGAAAGUUACCUAAUAUAGGGCUGUAUUUGUAUGGGUCUCCAUUGGAGAAGGUAAAGGCUUUUAAAUUUUUGGGUGUUUGGUUUGAAGAACGUAUGACUUGGGCUGUACAUGUAGGUAAGAUUGUGGAGAGGUGUGAAAAAGUUUUGAAUGUUAUGAGAAGUCUAGCUGGAUGUGAAUGGGGGGCCAAUAGGGAGACGUUAUUAUUAAUUUAUCAGGCCAUGAUCAGGUCCAUUAUUGAUUAUGGGUCCUUUGUAUAUGGGUCUGCUUCUAAAACUGUUUUGGAUAGGUUGGAUGUAGUGCAAACAAGGGCUUUGAGGAUUUGUUGUGGGGCCUUCAGAACUUCCCCAGUUUCAGCCUUGCUUAUUGAAAUGGGAGAAAUGCCCUUAUGGUUAAGGCGUAUUAAAUUAGGACUACAGUACUGGGUAAAACUUAGAGGAUGUAAUUAUACAUAUCCAGCAAGGUGUUUGUUGCAAGAGUUUGUUGGAAGUAGGAAAUAUUAUAAUUUUUUUGUUAAUGUAAAUCAGUGGGCUAGGAAGAUGGAAUUGGAACAGGGAGGUAUUGCAGAGCACAUAGGAUGGUUACCUAUGCCAUAUUGGGUGAUGCCUGAGUUGAAAGUUGAGUUUGCUUUUCUUCAGGAAAAAGAUAAGAUGGAGG